AUUGAACGCUGGCGGCAGGCCUAACACAUGCAAGUCGAACGGUAACAGAAAGCAGCUUGCUGCUUUGCUGACGAGUGGCGGACGGGUGAGUAAUGUCUGGGAAACUGCCUGAUGGAGGGGGAUAACUACUGGAAACGGUAGCUAAUACCGCAUAACGUCGCAAGACCAAGAGGGGGACCUUCGGGCCUCUUGCCAUCGGAUGUGCCCAGAUGGGAUUAGCUAGUAGGUGGGGUAACGGCUCACCUAGGCGACGAUCCCUAGCUGGUCUGAGAGGAUGACCAGCCACACUGGAACUGAGACACGGUCCAGACUCCUACGGGAGGCAGCAGUGGGGAAUAUUGCACAAUGGGCGCAAGCCUGAUGCAGCCAUGCCGCGUGUAUGAAGAAGGCCUUCGGGUUGUAAAGUACUUUCAGCGGGGAGGAAGGGAGUAAAGUUAAUACCUUUGCUCAUUGACGUUACCCGCAGAAGAAGCACCGGCUAACUCCGUG
rnacentral:rRNA from 1 species